rnacentral:rRNA from 1 species
GACGAACGCUGGCGGCGUGCUUAACACAUGCAAGUCGAGCGGAGCGGCGAACGGGCGAGUAACACGUGGGUGACCUGCCCUCCACCCUGGGAUAAGCCCGGGAAACUGGGACUAAUACCGGAUAGUGGGGGCUGGGGCCGGGGCCUAUCGGCUUGUGGGUGGGGGGAUGGCCUACCAAGGCGGUGACGGGUAGCCGGCCUGGGAGGGCGACCGGCCACACUGGGCCUGAGAGACGGCCCAGACGCCAACGGGGGGCAGCGGGGGGGAAUAUUGCGCAAUGGGCGGACGCCUAAGGCAGCGACGCCGCGGGGGGGAUGACGGCCUUCGGGUUGUAAACCUCUUUCGCCAGGGACGCGGUACCUGGAGAAGAAGCACCGGCCAACUACGUGCCAGCAGCCGCGGUAAUAC